AAAAGUCAAUGGUUUCUCUCUCUUUUUUUCCCCAAUUUAAUUCAGCAAAAACCCUAGGGUAGUCUUUCCCUCCCAUACGUUCUUUCUUUUCUUUUUCCCAUUCUUCUUCCUGUCCUUCCUCCACCCAAGCUCGUCGGCCGCCAAUUUCACACACAGAUGAUGUUACGCACAAGCUUCGGCUGACAAUCCACCACCAGACGUUCACGCACAGACGACAUUUCCGGGUACAUGUAUGCAUAUCUGUGAGUUGAAUAUAUUCCAAUCUGAACAGGCCAAGAUACAUGCAGGUUCUCUUGAGGAUGCUUCCAGCCUACUAUAAGCACGUUCGGUCCUUUGAAAAUACCCUCGUCACCAAAUUUUAUGGUCUUCAUUGUGUGAGAUUAACUGGGACUUCACAAAAGAAGGUGCGAUUUGUCAUAAUGGGAAAUCUAUUUUGUUCUGAGUACACAAUCCACAGGCGUUUUGACUUGAAAGGUUCUUCCCACGGCCGUAUAACUGAUAAACCAGAGGCAGAAAUCGAUGGAACGACAACCCUUAAAGAUCUUGACCUUAAUUAUAUAUUCCGGUUGCAGAAGAUUUGGUUCCAAGAAUUUUGUAGGUAUAAGUUAUUAACAUUUUUCCUUACCAGUUGUUUGUUAUUCACUUUUGUUCAUGAUAAAAAUUUGUAUCUCACUCCUUUGCUCCCUGAUGAAUGACCUUAACGUACUCAUCAAAUGAAUCUACAUCUGAACUCAUACUUGGAGCUGAGUUGAAAUUUUUCUGAACUGGAAUUUAUUGUAUCAUGUAGUAUAAACGUUGUUUGCUGGUUUUCUGCUUUCUUAUACUUCAUUACUUUUGAUGAAGAUACGGAACCCGAGUCUUUGCAAGUUUUUUCUUUUCUCAUUCUUACUUUUUUUCUACUUUUGUUUCUUCCCAUUUCGAUUCCUUAAAGAUCAAUGACACCCAGGUUUGGUAACCGGUUCAAAACCCACAUACCAGAACCCUCCAACAAACACACUACUCUGUUUUUACUGUGUUGAUUGAAGGAUCUGUGGCCUCUCAUUCUGUUGAUCCCUUUGGGUUUUGCUGAUUAGGUUUUCUGGGUUUUGAUUUGGAGAAUGGCGGGGAUUUGAGGGCAUUCUGUUGAUUGUGGAUGGAGAAUUGGAGGAGGAUAAGGAAAUGGGGUUUGUUGUUGCAUUUAGGAUCUGUGAUUGGUGAUUGUGUUUUGAUUUGGUCUAAAGGGGAAAUAUGUUGGCUUUUCCUGGAACUCCAGGGACAUUGACUGGGUUUGUGUUGAGAAUUUUGCAAUGUGUUUUUGCUGCUGGGUCUAUUGCUUCCAUGGCUACUUCUGUUGGCUUCUAUAACUUCACAGCUUUUUGGGACAUCAGUGAUAUGUUAGUUUGGAGCUUAGUGCGCAUAUAAUAACAGCAGUGAUAGGGUCGGGGGUUCUAUCGUUGGCGUGGGCGAUAACGCAGCUCGGUUGGGUGGCUGGACCGAGGGUAUAUACUGCAGGAGGUAACAAUGUUAAAUUUUGUGGGUUGGCUCAGUAUGGUAAUCUGGUUGGUGUUAGCAUUGGUUACACCAUUACUGCCUCCAUUAGCAUGGUCAGCCCAAUGUGCAAUCUAGAUCACAAAAGGAAGGCUUAGAAUCUGAACAAUUUUGGAAUUUGCUGGGAGGCAAAUCUGAAUAUCCUAGCCAAAAAAUCAGUCGAGAUGCUGAGAGUGAUCCUCACCUAUUUUCUUGUACUUUCUCAAGAGGGAGUUAUCACUAAACAAAUGACUGCAAUAGAAGAAAUGGUUGCAAGUGAGUACAAUUAGCCAGACCCUCAUCUUUGUGACAAGAUCUUGAAGUUGGUCAUUUGUGAAGCGUUCUACUUUUCUUUCUUUCUUUUUUUCCAAAGGAUGAUCAGUGUAAUAAUUAAGCUUCAUAAUUUCUGUGUUUGGAUCCAAGUUGUAUAUAAAUGUCACAUUAUUAAGAUUUCAUUUUGUAUAUGUACAAGUAAAAGAUUUCGUUUUUAA